ensembl:lncRNA
GCUGCUGCUGGUGGGCCUCCAAAGAAUACUCCUCACUCAACUUUGGGACAGGAUCAGGACAUAGGACCAACCUAGGAUCUGGAAACUAACAAGAACCAGCUAUCUAUAGAAGUUGCUGCCCUAAGAGAUCCUCGAGAUUCCAUAGCAUGAAAGCAAUGCAUCCUCUGAUGACAAGGAGGGCAUCUGUUCGGAAAGCGAAAACUGGGCAAGAGCAAGCAGGGUCAUCCAGAGGAGACCCCUCUUCAGGCACCGGAACCCCAACUCCAGCCUGACAUUUAAGAGGACCCUGUGCUUAGCACAGAGGCUAUGGGAGGCACAUUAAAAAGCUCCCAGGUGAUGAGAUGCUGCUACACACUGGACUACACUUUGAGUAGCGCUUGUCAAGGAGGAAUGAUGGGAUAAAAAAGAGGAAUCCAGAGCGUAAGUUGUUAAAAGACCCCAAAACAAGGAGAGCCUGAAGGUCAUUACUCGGGGCUUCACAAUUUGCUUGUGAAGUCGGACUGAAGUCGGACUUUGUGGGAAGGUAACCAUCCUUUCCCAACUGAGGAUAAAGUUGAAUCACGAAGGCCUGGCAUAGCACGGUGAGAAGUUUGGACUGCUUCCUCCAGGCAAUAAUUUUUGAGAGUGGAAGUGUUGACGGAAUGAGAAUAAUGUUGUAGGAAUAUUCUUUUGGCAGCAGAUUGCAGAAAACACUGGAGCCAGCCUAAGGAAGACUAGACUGAAGGUUAUUGCUCACUGAAAAAUGGGAGGAUUAUGCAAAGGCUUAGGAGAGAGCGGUCAAGGGAAACAGGAUAGUGAGGGGGAACCUGGAAAUGACGGGGAGGAACAGCAUAGCUGAAUGACAAGUUACUGCAAAGGGAAGAGCUUAGGAUGACGCUGAGGCUUAUUGACCUUCUAGUGACAGGAUUAGAGAAAAAUCACCAGAAAUAUAUCUUCUUCUAUUUGGGCAUGGAAUGAUGGUUGAUAGAGUCUUACUUUGCAAGUCAGAAUCGGAGACAAGCAUCAUGAAGGUAACUUGCAAAGAACUUGUGGCUUUUCAAGUAAGAAACAGAACAGUUACUUAAAAUAAAGCCCCACAAAAUUACCAGUUUCACAGUUAUCCAUUCAUGGUGGAGAAUGGUUUUCUGACAUGAUUAUCAUAUCCACAAACGUCAUGACCUAUCCUUAGAGGUUAGAAAUGUAAAAGUCAGAGCUAGGCUUGUUCUGUGGUGAGUCUGGAGCGUACAGGAAGAGCUCUGCUUGGUUCUGAUUUGAUGGGGGACUCCACGUGCACGGUGGCUCGGAGCGGUGCAGGAAGGGGCUGCUUCGUUUGCUCCCUUCCUACAUUUUGUUCUGACUAAACAGACAGUGAAGUAGAGUGGAACAAGCCCUGGGGUGGGCUCAGGAGACCUCGCUUGGGAACAUGGUGGGUCAUUACCUAUGUAGCUCAGAGCCCUAUUCACAAGGGAAUUCGCUUCCGAGGCUCCCAGGUAGCUUCCAGAGCCGACAACACACAUGUACCUAGUGCUGGACUUCUAGCAUGGUCACUGCUGUCUUAGUGGGUACUCCCUUCCAAACACGGCCUUUCUCUCCAGAGCAUGUCAACCUCAGCAUGAACUGCACUCUACUGGGCUACUGGGUAAAGCCAAAAUCCUACCUUUCCUUCCUUUCCCUCCCACCUCUCGCCUCCUCUCUUCUUCCCUUCUAUCCCUUCCCCUUGAUCCCAUCCUCUCCCCUCCUCUCCUCUCAUCCUCCCCUGUGCCCUCCCCUCCCCUCCUUUCUCCUCCCCUCCCCUCUUCUCCCUAUCCCUCCUCUCCUCUCCCCUCCCCUCCCCUCCCCAUCCCUCUGCUCUCCACCCCUCCCCUCUCUGCCUCUCCUCUCCUCUAGUCUCCUCCCCUCUCCUCUCCUCCUCCUCUUUGCUUCACUUUCUUCUCUUCCUUUCCUUCUUUUUUCCCUUCUUUUCUCUUCCUUUUUCUUCAUUUCUUGUGCCCAUCCCUUUCUCCUUUCCCUCCACCAUAGAUACGCUCUUCCGCUUUCUCUUUUGCUCUCCCCUUCUUCACAAUAAUAAUAGGAAUUACCCAUCUGUGUGCCCCAGGCAGUCCUCCUAUAUCUAAAUUUUUCCUUGAUAAACAUGCUACCAGUAGGUGAAAUGCCCACACUUGAAAUCCAUCCUUUUGUGUGGAGACACUGUCUACAGAAGCUCUUUAUGAAAAUGUGAGUCAUUCCCAAAAGAGCGAUGUUACCAAAAGGUUUGCUCACUCAUCAGAUGUCCAGCAGUCAUCUCACCGAGCACCAAAGCAUUGGAAGGCAGAUGAGAGAAGAGGCAUUGCUGAACUGAGCCGGGCUCGGCAGACGGGCAGUGUUGGACCCUGGCUGGUCACGGCUGUGGAAAGAGCCCGUGUUCUCUCCUGAAGAGAGGAGACAAGUUCUAACCCAAACUGCGUGUUAUUGUGUAACCAAAUGUCUCCAUUUGCCGAGUUCUUAGCUUCCUCAAUUAUAAAAUAAGAUGUGGGGAAAUGUUCCCAUGAAGCUCCAGAAUGACGGCUUCAGAGUAUGAGGCAGGGGGAAGAGAAGUGUGAGGGCAGAGAAUAAUGUCGACAAAUCCACUUCACGGUUUUGCCCAAGGCCAGCCAUGUGGAGUGCAAGUUACUCACAGGUAGACGGUAAAUUGAGACAGUCCAGAUUUGUGCCUAGAAUUUCAACGUAAUUAUUAGCAAAGCCUCUUCACUUUCCGAAGUGUCACAGUGUGGAUCAACAAUUACGUUGAUCUGUUCAUCUAUUCAUGGUGAGUGUUUCCCAAGGACUCAGAAGCACCAGAAGCACAGGCACACUCCUGCCUCUACCACGCAGAGGCCUUUCACAGCUUUUCUUUUUUCUCUUAGUUGAAGUCAAGACAAUCCAGCCCACCUAAUCUGACAAGAUGCACACAUACAAGGCAGUUAGGGAGCAAAGUAGCACUGUAGCAGCUGUCAGCCCACAUCAAGCAUCCCAAAUGCAUUCUUGCAUCCAGAGCCUCAUAUUGAGAAAGCGGGCAUUGACCUUUGUUUGUUGGUCUCAGGGUACCACAUACCCCAAAAUGUUCAAAGCAAAAAAGCUUUGUGCUUUGAGGCUAAUGUGGAUAAAAUCAGCUUACUAUGAAACUGCUUGUGACAGAAAGGUUUCCACAUCAGGUAUUGCUGCAGAAAAGCUUGAUGAAUGUUUGGGGACUUAUUAACCCAGGCACUUGUGACCAAUUUGCAAUGAUGACUGUCAUCCGUAAGGUUGCAAGUGGAGAGGUGCUAAUUCCCCCUCCUGUAGUAGCAGCCACAAUAUUCAGUCUUGUCAUUGGUCAUGAGCGGGCAUCCGCCCUCCUCCUCCUCACUCUGAAGAAUUCUUUUCCCCAAUACGACAAUAAUUUCCUCAUCUCAACUCUGCAAGACCUCCAUUUUAUGAGAUCUUGGAGGCUCAAAGCAGCUAUCUACCAUCCCAAACAGCCUACACUUUCAUCCUCGGCAGGGGACCUCCAGCCCCUUUUCAAACAAGCAUUAUUACAACCAUUUUAUAAAGCCCAGACUGAGAGAGCUCCCUGGUGCCUGGUUAGAGUGGUCUACCACGGCAGUCUUCUCAGCAGACCACACACAGGAACCCCUCCUUCCCUCCUGCCCAUCCAACCUCUGCUCCUAGAAGGAGCCAGGAGAGCAAGAAACCCGGUGCCUACAAGCCACAGCUAAAGGAAGGGCAGUCAGGAGACAGCCAGAAAGGGCGGGUUGGUAGGCGAAAUCAUGACCCCCAAAGGUGUGUCCAUGUCCUAAUCCCCAGCACCCACGAGUGUUUCUUAUAUGGCAAAAAUCAUUGCAGAUGUGCAUAAACUAGAGGGCUUGAAAUGGGGAGAUUAUGUUGGAUUAUUUGGUGGGCUCUAAAUGCGAUCGUACGUAUCCUUAUAAAAGGGAAGCGGAGAGAGAUUUGACACGUACACACACACAAGAAGAGGAGAAGGCAAAGAGACCACAGAGGCAGAGAUGGAGUGAUGUGGCCACAAGCCAAGAAAAGCUGGCAGCUAGAGGAAAGGGCAAGGAAUGGAUCCUCCUCUAGAGCCUUCAGUGGGAGCACGGCCCUGACAACAUCUGGGUUUUGACACAGCGAAACUGAUUUCAGAAUUUGGCCUCCAGAGCUCUAAGAGAAUAGACAUGUGUUGUUUUAAGCCACCCAGUGGCAAUUUGUUACAGUAGCCGCAGGGAACUAAUGCAGGCAGUCAUUGCAGUGUGUGUGAUCUAAAACCAGGAGGGGCCGAGCAGAGAGUCAGAGGGUGGCAGUGCUGGGGAAGGACGGGGUCGACCGAGGGGUGAGGGAACUGGAACCAAUUGAAUGUUGGAAAGACUGGCUUUGUUAUCAGGGAGCCAUGAAUUCCAUCCCUGGCUUUGUCACUUAUCAGCUGCAUGAUGUCGGGCAUCCCUCAGCCUCAGUCUCUAAUCUUUGAAAAGAAAAUGAUAAGACCUGACUCUCAGAGUUGUGGGGAGAAAUACAAGAAUUUAAAAAAAUGAAAAAUGUCUCCCAAAGGGUGAGUGCUCAUUGAGAAGUAAUGCCUAUUGACGUGCGAGAAGACAUACUUAUGUUAACAGACUGGACAGAAUCAUCUUAGGGAGAGAAGUGAUUUUGUUUGGGAAAAUACUUUGAUGCCUUCUUUGGAUGUCAGUGGGGAAGACCCCUCCUGUUUUCUGCCACCUGUCCCUUUUCUCUUCCCUUCCUCUAUCCCGUAGUCCAUAUGGCUCUACUGGGUUAGAGCACAAACAAAGAACACUGAACUUGUCAGCCCAAUAAGGAAAGGCGAAUUCAAAGUUUCCAGAAAUGAGGAAAUGCUGUGUCCCCAAAGAGGUAUGUUCAGGGCCUAAUCCCCAGGACUUGUGCCUAUGGCCUUAUUUGGAAGUAAGGUCUUUGCAGAUGAAUCCAUUUAAGAAGUCGUAUUGGAUUAGAGUGGGCUCUAACCCAAUGACUGGUGUCCUUAUAAGGCAAGAGAAAUUGGGGCACACAGACAUACGCAGAGGAAAGAUGGCCAUGUGAAGCCAGAGGAGACAUGCAAGAGGACACCAUGUGAUGACAGAGGCAGAGAUGGCAGUGACACAGCUGCAAGCCAAUGAAAACCAAGGAUUGACCACCAGCCGUCAGAUGGCCAUCACGAGAAGCUAGCAAGAGGCAAGGAAGGAUGCUGCCCUCCAGGCUUUAGGGGGAGCAUGGCCCUGCCAACAGCUUGAUCUUAGACUUCUGGAGACAAUGAAUUUCUGCUGUUUAAGCCACCCAGUUUGUGGUACUUUGUUAUGGCGGCCCUAGCAAACCAAUCCAGGGAACUGAGAUGAGAAGACAAGAAGCGACCUGCCCCCUAGGCAUGCCAUUGUGGAGCCAGGAGAGCAGCUGGCCGGCGAGGAAUCCCUGCUGCUGGAAUGGCCCGGGGGCCUGUCAGAAACAUGUUGGCCAACACUCCCUUCUGGAGGGUUUGCUGUGAGACUAACCCACAGUGAUCGGCUCCACGUGGAUACCCUUGGAUCCUCCCAGUGGGGAAAUGCAGCAGGUGCUGCCUAUUUGUUUUCUCUGGGAAGCACUUACUAGGGUAAGACCUGAGAAGGGACAGGAAAUCAGAACAAGAGGGGCCACAAGACACAGACAUGUGGCCGCUUCAGAAUCUCAGGGAUUUUGCAGGAGAAUCGUUUUGAUUUUCCAACUAAACGACAGGUGACAAGUCAGGGCCCGAAGACUUGGGGACCCCACCAGCUGACAGACAGUACAGGCUCCAGUCUUAUUAACGCCAUGGCCUGAAUAUAAACCAAAGCCAGAGCAGGAGUACAAACCACACAGUUCAGGACGAUGAGCUGAGCGACUGUUUGUUUCUGAGAACUCUACCACCUCCCCUCAUGGCAGAGGACCCUCGCUGGUUUAAAAAGCCAAGGGCCGGGCUCUGGCCUGGGAGGUCAGCUUUGCUCAGACCCUGCAGCCCUUCCUCCCUCUGCAGAGUGUCAUGGCUCGCAGCGGGCGCCUGCCUCCUGGUGCCCUUCCUGGAAAGCCUCCCACACGCUGGCGCACGUGCCUGUGCCCGACCUUGGCCGUGCCUGGGAGAGUGUGAGAUCAAAGAAAUGAAAGUGCUCCUUUCUGGUACUUCAAUCAGAGAGAGAAGCAAUUAAAAUAUGAAUUAAUCUGAGUGAGAUGAAAAUGCAGAUGCAGAACAAGAGCAUUUCGAUCACCUUGAACCUGCACUGCGCGCCGUUGAGCUCCAGUGAUUAAAGACAUUUUCAUGCCAUUAAAAACCUUCUCUUCCAAUGUUACAAAUGCUAUGUCAGUCAAUCGCUCCGAGCAGCCUCUGUGAGGACUGCCCUCUCCUCACUUCAGUCCCUUGAUCCUUUCAGAGCACUGCGGUGGGGGGGACCCUCUUAGGAGGGGACACUGAGGAUUGGGGAAUUAUGGGAGUGCAAGAUUCCGAGCUAAAUGGAAAGAGUAUUGCAUGUGUCUCCUCUCAAGCAGAUCCUUUUGGGUUCCUUGACUCUAUUGUGCAGGCUGAGUCCUGGCUGCCAGGUGGCACUGGGAGGACAGAGCUGAGGAACCAAAGUGCACAUUCCCAGCGCUCCACAAUCUCCUCGUCGUUUGUGGUUCCCUGAUUGUUUCUUUGAAAUGAGUGAUAAUUGUAGAAUUUACUUCUGGAGUUUUGCCUCUGCUUCUCUAUGGUCUUAAGGGCCUUCUGUCAAUCCUCUGCAGGGAGGGGCCGGGCUAUGCCCCCAGCGAAGGGAUGGAAGGGAGGGAGUGUCAGUUGAUAACCUUGUGAAUCAUUGGGCUUUCCAGGCCAGCCGUUUAUGCUAUUGUUUUGGUUUUGCUUCCUUCUGUGCAUACCCUACAUCUGACUUUGGCUUUUCCUCCUAUUUCUGGCCAUACAUUCUCUCUUUGCUGUUGUCAGCAGUAUUUAUCAAUCUCAGGUUUUGAAGCUUGGAACUUGAAAUUACCCAUCCUGAAUCUCCCUUUGUUAUUUUCCAGAGCCAACCUCCCCACUCCCUCCAGCCCUGGGAACUGCUGGUCUGGAUCUAAGAUGGUUUCUUUUUCUUUCCUUCUCUGACACUCUUUAAGGACCUACCAGUCAGAUUCGCCCCAGUGGAAAUCAGAACCUGUAAUAAUACCUGCUCUAAGAAUAAACCAGGAAAGAUCACCCACGGAGGUUGUGAGGUCCACUCUAGGUGGGGAAGUGGCCCUCUGUCAUUUGGCAUCCUGAGGCUGACAGCUCACUUCUGCUCUGCUCUUGCCAUCUCUAAAAGCUCCAUUAGGCCAUGCAAGACACAGGUCCUAAGCACACCCAGGAUUUCGUGAAAGAGCUCUCUUACUCCAGGACCUCUUAAGAGAUGGCCAGAAUUCUGACUUAGACAAAUGCAAUGCAAGAUGCUUCCCAUGUUCCAUCUCUACCUCCCAUGCAUUCCAAGAAGCAGAAAAUGUACUACCACGCUAUGACAUCACACUUCUUUGGAUUCACCUCUCUGCUGGCUUCUGCACCCUCUAAGCUGUCACUCAAAUUCAUUCUCCUUGUGUCCAUGUGCCAACUCUCCCCCUGGACAGCUUCAGAGGGAGCCUCAGGGUCUCUUCUCUGAGUUAAAACCCAAAGCCCAGAAGACCCCUGAGUAGCCAGCCAGUUUCCUGCUCCCUCCCCACACUCACCCUAUCCAGCACCUUAGGUCUCCAGGGGAAAAGAAGUCUUCUAGGCAGAAGGCACCGCCAGCCACCAGAAGGCUCUGCAAAAGAGCCUCCUCUUUAAUCUGAAGACUUAAGUAGAGUGGCCCAAAUUCCUGAAGUUGUUUCCACUUGAGGAAGGAGGAGAGUGGGGUCUCAUGGCCCUCCUUUCUGAACUUUGUGCAUCCUUGUCUUCUCCUGCUCCUCAGCUCUGCAAUAUUUGAGCAUGUUCGGGGGUGGGGUGGGGGAGGAGGACCCCUGCUUCGUUCUCUGCCUCCUGCUGCCAGGUUAUGAAUCCUAAUACUCCUGACCGCUGCUUUCAUUUUUCAUUGAGUGCCUUUGAAGGCCACCACGUGUAAUAAUGAUUAAGAGAACAACCUUCAAUUAUAAUCCCAUCUUCAUUAGUUACUUAGCUAUGUGUCCUUAGCUUGAGAACAAUAAUUGUGCCUACCUGAAAAAUUGUGACAGUUAAAUCAGAUAAUACGUGGCAAGUGUUUAGAACACUCCUGACACAUAGUAGGUGUUCGAUAAAUGUCACUUGUUAUUCUUGUCACUGUAUUAUCAGUAUCAUUACUACUACUCUACCAUGGCCAGCUGCCCCUCCUUGCAACUAGUUUCCCAUAUUAGUGCGGAUUCCUGUCUCUUUCGGUUUGGGUUCCCAUGCAGAGCACCCCCUACCACUUCAUUUUCUGCAAAAAGCCCCACCUGCACCUGCCAGAUCUGUAACUCACGCCUGGUCUCCCCGCCCCGGGCCUGUCCAGUGCCUGUCACAAACACCUGAGAAUCUAUAGUGCAGGAUUCACCGCGCUAGAGUGGUACAGUCUCGCGAGAGUUCCCCAUCCAUUUCCUUCAUGGUUUGAUCCUCUCAACCCUUCAUCAUAAUUAGGUUCCAGCCGGAAACAGCCUGGGGAAAUCACUGCAUGUGGAGACCUGCUUCUCUCUCUAGCACAUUGAGCUUUUGGCAAGUUGAUAAUUGGCCUUGAUACUGGGACUAGAGCUUUCUUUCACCCAGUUGGGCAGCCUUCUACCCAUGUUACUGGAGGGUAAUGGAAACUGAGGGACCUGCGAUGGAGAGCACUUUUCUUCUUUCCACUAACUGCAAAUAGGAAGGUGAAAGCUGGUCGCUGGCUGGAAUGUAGGACCCAGUAUUCCAGAAACAUUGAGCCAAAUGUGUUGAAAUGGCUGCAAUUGAUAGCUUGCUUAUCAUUAAUCAAUAAGCCAACUUAAGCUAUAUCGAAUUCCUGCAAUGCAAGAGUCCAUGCACCCCGAAUGCAUGUGUGUGUGCACACGUGCUUGUGCACAUUUGCCGUCUGAAAAUGAGAACACUCCCACCAUCAGUGACAGGGAAUGGGCCAUAAUUGAUUUUCCAUAGACAAAUGCUUUAAAUUGUGGUAAACCCUUUGUAGCAUCUUAGUCAAAUUGAGCCUUUUCAAGCCAGAUUUAUAGUCCAUAGGAUUCCACUUAACUGAGACAAGUGAUGCAAUUUCAGGGCAAUUUAAAGGGUAUUUCAUUUAGAGACAGAACCAGUCCUUGUCAAGGGCCUGGAGGAAACAAGAAAUCUUCCUCCUCUCAUCUGCUUAAAAGCAGUUGCCAUCCAGUCCAUGGGGACUGAGCAGCAUUGUGAGUGACUUAGUGUAGUAGAUUUUACGACCCAUGUUCAUUGAAGGGGAAAUGACCAAAAGGAGGGCAUGGAUAGAAGGCAGGGUCUGCCGGCAGCAUUCAGAGCCUUUCUAAGACUUAGGAAAAGGUGUCCAGUCUGGGUACUCAGAUUACUACGAGGCACCUCUUCAUCCCAGGCUGCAGCCCCUGUCAGGGCAUAAGACUUGGGAUCGGUGAGCACUGGCUGGAUUUCUGUCCCUGUUUGCCCCCUGGACUAGCACCCUUGAGCAAUGUGCGAUGUGCACGACUGCACGCAGCUGCCCUGGGAGAAUGACAUCCUGACUUUACAUACACAUACUACCUUUUUUAAUGCUCAAUCACAGUAGGAGGUUUUAAUCACCGUCCUCAUUUUAUAAAUGCGCAGGGCUGGAAAAGAUUAAACACUGUGUCCAUAUUAACGUGGUUUGAGCUGUGAUUCUAGUCCAGGUCUGUUGGAUUCUAAACCCCAAGCGCUUUCCUAUUCACUGUGGAAUGUGAGUUCAAACGAAGGGCUUGGUCAUCUUUUUCCCAGGGAAACAGGAAGAUGCGGCAGGAUAUGAGCCUCAGCUCCUGGAAGGCGCUAUUGGAAAAGGGAGCAGACCCUCUCAGGUGGCUGGCCGUCCAGCUUCUGCUACGUCUGUGAGGUGGCUCAGUUUCGUCUGUCUGCAAAGUCCUGCCUUCCUUCAAGCUGAUGCCUCCCUCCUGUUGGUCCAGAGGAAAGACAGGACCAGUGGCUGGAGCAGGGACUGCAUGCCCCUGCUGCCCAGGACCCUCGGGGGAGCCCGGGAGAGAGGACCUGGAGCCUGACAGCUCUCCCCACUGAGCCUCAGGCCUGCGCUUGGGAGCACGGCUGAAAGUCAUCGUGCUGCUCUUCUGUCGUACAGGACUGGGAGACUCAAAAGAGGAAGCAAAGGGACCAUGACGCUCUCACAAGUGAAAUGAGGAAAAAUAAUGAAUUUUUAACAAAGCUAAAUUUAUUCAGUUUAAAGGACUCUCCUUUAUGCUUAGAUUAAAACUUCCUGUUUUUUUAACUAUCAUUUAUUAAAUUAAAGUAAUUGAUAGUCGUAUGUGUGUAUAUGAGUAUGUACGUAGUUUUAUUGUAGCUUAUUUGUUUUUUAUAAGUCUCUUGAUAUGUAAAAAAAUUAAAAUUUGGCAAGUCUUUGUCAAUAUAAAAAAAAAAAAAUGUGUGUGUGUGCAUAUGUAUGUGUGCAUGUGUGUGUGUUUUAAGUUUACCGGUCCACGGUCCCACCAGUCUAGGAACCAUCAUCUUAGACGUGGAGAACUGACAUUUCCUGUCAUUUAACACUCAUGAUGACCCUGCAAGAUGAGUGUCAAGAUGAUGCUGUUUCCCCAGAACUUGUGCGUCUUGUCCAGUCUGUCACAGCUAGGCAGCGGAAGAUUCCCACACAGUUCCCUCUGAGGCCACAACGCCAGAGUUUCCUGUUUAGUUUGGCGUCUGUUUUCCACUUUGCUACAUUGUUAACAGCUUCCCUUUGUUCCUGCAGUCCCACAGUAGGGCACUAAGAGGAAGUUUGCUGGGUUCGAAUAUAAUCAGUAAAAUUUCAUUAACCCUUUCCACUGGUUUCCACAAUGUCAAAUAUAGAUGGCCACUGCAGAAAACGUUUGACCUAACUAGAGACAUGGAAUCUAUAACUCAGUGCAACCAAAAGAGAGCUAUGGGAACAGUUAGACCCUACUCCCUGGGCUUCUCGGAUUGCUUCCAUGAGUGAUUCUCAGGAAUGUUAAAAUUCACUAGAAAUUAAACUCUAUAGAGGCAGGAGAUUUUGUCAUUUUUUACUCCCUGCUGUACUUUUACACCUAGGUCAUAAUAAACACUCAAAAAUGUUUGUUGAAUGAAUAAAGAAAAGAAAAUAGACUUAUCCAAGUAUCUGAUAAAAGCUCGGGACUAUCUUCCCAGAAAAUGUUCACAGGCACACAGACAAUACCGUGCACAGCAUUUUCAGGUUCGACAACCCCCUGAAACCUCCGCAAAAGCUUAGACUAUCUCUUCGUGGAGAGACCGCCCUUGACACCGCCCCUGGUGGAGAGGAGCAAGGCCCUUGGCUCUGCACUCUUUCUUCCACGUUGACGGGACCCACACGCUGUAAGGCCCGCAGCACUUCGGAGGACCUGUGCUUCACCUAUUCGACCUGAACGCCUAGGGCUUUCUGGACCUGAGAGGGUAAAGAGGAAUUGCAGCCGCCCCUCAGUGAGGUUAUAUAAUCUGCCAGGCACCGUGGGACCCACAUUCAUCUAAUCCUCAG